CUCAGGAUAGCUGGAACUUAUGAGAAAGUAGUUUUUAUCAGGUAAAGCGAAUGAUUAGAGGCUUUGGGGAAGAAACUUCCUCGACCUAUUCUCAAACUUUUAAAUAGGUAAGAUUUUGAAGGAUACUUAAGUGAUCUUUCAAUCUCUUGAAUAUAAAGUUCUUAGUGGGCCAUUUUUGGUAAGCAGAACUGGCGAUGUGGGAUGAACCGAACGUUAAGUUAAAGUGCCAAAUAAUACGCUCAUGAGAUACCAUAAAAGGUGUUGGUUCAUUUUGACAGCAGGACGGUGGCCAUGGAAGUCGGAACCCGCUAAGGAGUGUGUAACAACUCACCUGCCGAAUGAACUAGCCCUGAAAAUGGAUGGCGCUUAAGCGUAUAACUUAUACUUAACCCUUACUUGAAUUAUAAUAGCGAGUAAGGAGUAGGAGGGCGU
rnacentral:rRNA from 1 species